AUUGAACGCUGGCGGCAGGCCUAACACAUGCAAGUCGAACGGUAACAGGAAGAAGCUUGCUUCUUUGCUGACGAGUGGCGGACGGGUGAGUAAUGUCUGGGAAACUGCCUGAUGGAGGGGGAUAACUACUGGAAACGGUAGCUAAUACCGCAUAACGUCGCAAGACCAAAGAGGGGGACCUUCGGGCCUCUUGCCAUCGGAUGUGCCCAGAUGGUAUUAGCUAGGAGGUGGGGUAACGGCUCACCUAGGCGACGAUCCCUAGCUGGUCUGAGAGGAUGACCAGCCACACUGGAACUGAGACACGGUCCAGACUCCUACGGGAGGCAGCAGUGGGGAAUAUUGCACAAUGGGCGCAAGCCUGAUGCAGCCAUGCCGCGUGUAUGAAGAAGGCCUUCGGGUUGUAAAGUACUUUCAGCGGGGAGGAAGGGAGUAAAGUUAAUACCUUUGCUCAUUGACGUUACCCGCAGAAGAAGCACCGGCUAACUCCGUG
rnacentral:rRNA from 1 species